rnacentral:tRNA from 1 species
GGUAGUGUGGCCGAGCGGUCUAAGGCGCUGGAUUUAGGCUCCAGUCUCUCUGGGCGUGGGUUCAAAUCCACCACUGCCA